UUAAACCCUAAACCUAGGAAAUAUAGAAACGGCGCCCCCUUGUUCUGUUCAUCUUCUUCGUCGAUUCAAACCUCAACUCGCUUGAAACUCACGCGAGUUCACUCAAAUGGGUCCCUUCUCUCCACGUCACUUUAUUCCAACAGAUUUCAAUCAGAGAAAAGAAUAUGCCCUCCGAAUUUGCACGAUUUCUGUACUAUUGAGCGUUUUGCUGGAUGAAUGGGAGCCAUGGAUGAUGAAAAUCAAUCCAUUCCUUCCAUUUGUCCCUAAAAUCGCUCACAAACGAGGGGAUUUUUCGGAUUUUUGGGUAGAAGCUUCGAGAUUUUUGAGGGUUAAAUAUAAGAAGCGGCUGCUUUCUUCUUGGUUUGCUUGACCUUUAUUUGGUCUUAUUCCUUCUCUUGUUCUGUUUUCAAGGUAAACAUCUACCUCCUCCUAUUGUUUGUUUUAUUGAUGUAUUAAAGGUUGUGAUGAAAUGACAUUGUUUGUUUAUCCGACAGGAUAUGCUUAAACUUGCUUGAAUGGUCAUUUGAACUUAACAAUGAAGAUUAAAAAAUGUUCUUGGCUUGUUGUGUCGUUUCGUGCUUCUAAAACUCACGGUUACACACACAAACUCAUUACAUUUAAUCAUUCAUAUGGUUUGCUAAUGUUAUUGUGUAGAUUUACUAAAAGUUGAAACGAAGCCUUAUAAGUUCAAAUUAGAUUUUAAAACUGAUGAAUCUAGGUGAGGGGUUUAAAUUGUUUUACUUCCCUUAUCAAGAUAUAGCAGAAUGUGUAUUUGUAUGUGUGUGUGUUUAUUGAUGUGCGUGGUUUUAGAUUGGUUAAUCACUUCUUCUCCUUUUCUUUUUGUUCCUUUAUCAACUAUCUCUCCCAUUAGAGCUUCUUCAUAUAUAAUAUCUUCAAAAGUUCUCAUGUAAUUGUUCUGUUGCAUUUUUUAUUUCUGUCCCACCUCAUGAUGCAGUUCAAUCUGGUCUUAUAUGAUAGUUCUUCGUUUAUGGAAGUUCCUUUCCUUAUUUGUUUACUAGUAAAGUUAGAAUUUUGAUUACACUAUUGUCUAUUCCCACCUGCAAGGGGACUUUUCUCUUCUCUGUUAUUCACUGCCCAAAUUCUUCCUGUUUCAUAGACGGGAUCUGGAAUAGUGAGGAGAGUUGGAGUCUUUAGGUUGGAAGGUGAUAUAGGUGGAGGAGUAGUUAUGAAACGAUACAGAUCUUUGCCAAAAGCCACUUCCUCUAGAUGUCACUUUAUAUGAAGAUAUAUAUAUGUUUGUGAGAAGAGCUAGUUGCUUACUUGCCUACUUUGUGAUUAUUUGGAGGAAAUGCAAAGAUUUUAUAUAGAGAGCUAAGGCUUUAUCUGUGGUGUCUCAUGAAAUUUCUGUGCAACUGAUCGGAGAUUCAUGCUUAUUUCUUGUAUGUUGUGUGUGUACGUGUAUUGUUUGUGUGUAUUUAUGAUGUUUAUUUAUUCACUGUCAAUCAUGUAAAAUUUAAAGACUAAUGUUUAGUCCUUAAUUAGCAGAAUGAAUGUGUGAAGGUUAGUCACAUAUGAAUGUAAAGACUGAUCUCUUUUAUUUAUUAUUCUUUGCCGUUAUAUGUAUAUGUGUGUCAGUGUGUUAGAGAUUCCAAUGUAGUGAGGACAUUCGAAUUUCUUCCUAUUUUGUCAAUUAUACAGCAAUUAACUCA